rnacentral:rRNA from 1 species
AACGAACGCUGGCGGCAGGCUUAACACAUGCAAGUCGAACGAGAUCUUCGGAUCUAGUGGCAGACGGGUGAGGAACACGUGGGAACAUCCCUUUCAGUUCGGAAUAACGUUGGGAAACUAACGCUAAUACCGGAUACGUCCUUCGGGAGAAAGAUUUAUCGCUGAAAGAUUGGCCCGCGUCUGAUUAGCUAGUUGGUGAGGUAACGGCUCCCCAAGGGUACGAGAAGUAGCUGAUCUGAGAGGAUGAUCAGCCAGAUUGGGACUGCGACACGGCCCAGACUCCUACGGGAGGCAGCAGUGGGGAAUCUUAGACAAUGGGGGAAACCCUGAUCUAGCCAUGCCGCGUGAUCGAUGAAGGCCUUAGGGUUGUAAAGAUCUUUCAGUGGGGAAGAUAAUGACUGUACCCACAGAAGAAGCCCCGGCUAACUCCGUGCCAGCCGCCGCUGUAA